rnacentral:rRNA from 1 species
AGCGAACGCUGGCGGCAGGCCUAACACAUGCAAGUCGAACGGAUCCUUCGGGAUUAGUGGCGGACGGGUGAGUAACACGUGGGAACGUGCCUUUUGGUUCGGAACAACUCAGGGGAAACUUGAGCUAAUACCGAAUGUGCCCUUCGGGGGAAAGGAUUUAUCGCCAUUAGAGCGGCCCGCGUCUGAUUAGCUAGUUGGUGGGGUAAAGGCUCACCAAGGCUACGAUCAGUAGCUGGUCUGAGAGGAUGAUCAGCCACAUUGGGACUGAGACACGGCCCAAACUCCUACGGGAGGCAGCAGUGGGGAAUCUUGCGCAAUGGGCGAAAGCCUGACGCAGCCAUGCCGCGUGAAUGAUGAAGGUCUUAGGAUUGUAAAGUUCUUUAGCCUGUGACGAUGAUGACGGUAACAGGAGAAUAAGCCCCGGCUAACUUCGUG